ensembl:lncRNA
CGACAGACUUGAGGGGUUCUCUGCCAUCUGAUCCUUCACCGCAACGUGGACACUGAUCUCUCACCGCAACACAGAGGCUGAUCUCUCAUGAUCUCUCACCACGACACGAGCUUCCUGCCUUCAGAUCCUUCUCUACGGACCGUUUGCUGACGGACUUCCCUGGGCCUGCUACCUGAGACCUGCUGCUUCCUCCCUGACCUGCACCCUCUUGUUGCCCAAGACCGGCCUCGCUGCUCCUGCCCUUCGGCCUCGGACCGUCGGAACGUCGUGCAACGGGACUGCUGCUGGAUCCUGGUGAGGAGUUGAGCAUGGGGUCAGACGGUUGGGAAUGGAAACUGAUGAAAGAACUGUGAAUGGAAGUAAUUGAGUGGACAAUCACCAAGAUUCCUGCAUAUCUUAUUUAAAUAUAUUGACGGUAUUGAGUUUGAAGCUGGAGUUACUCUCAUUACUUGAGUUCCUGCAUUCUAUCUAUACAGUUUGAUGUAUCUAUACUUUCACUUCUACUAUUCUCUACAGCUUUCUUAAUGUGUAUGUCAGUCCAUAGGUAUUUUUUGCCUUGCACAAAGGGCUAAAAUGCUUUGUAAUAUCACAUUGCUUAUCCAGUUUGAGUUUGGUCUAACUCUACUGAAGUCAGUGAUUUUACACAGGUAUGGCCUUUGCUCCUCAUCAAUGUCCAACCAUGAAAACUGCUUUAACCUAUAUUCCUCAUUUUGAUCAUCCUGAGAUGGAAAACUUUGCCCCACAAAGUUGCCCCACAACUUUGCUGAACAAGUAACAGCGACAUCACUGCUAAUAGCUGUUCUCAAUGAAUUUUUAAAAUGUCAGUCAGCUGAGUUCUUGAGCUGUAAGUUAUUCUUUCAGGACUUACUUUUUACAGAUAAUGCAUUCUGUAACUGCUUGUUAUGGACAAAUAAUGUGAGCUUCUGACUUCCCAAUGUUAUGUUCAAAAUGUCUUUUUGUUUGCUCAGAUGUAUUCGCAGAGGAAAGGAACUGCAAACUUAGAAAUAUCAAUUACAGGUUUUUACUUUGCACCACACUAGCAGUUUCUUAUUCUGUAGAAGCAGUUUCUCUAUAAUUACUAAGAUAGCCUUUUCCGAAAUGCAACUCAAAUAAUGGCAGGAAAAACUGCCAUAUUUACUGCAUGUUAGUGAUUCACACAUAAGCUCAAACUGCAAAGUAAAGAAAAGUUAUUCAACUUCCAAGACCAGAAAUUCUUUUCAGAAACUGGAAAUUCAUGUCAUUUUAAGCACACUGCCUACACUACUAGCAUUCUACCUGCAUCUUUAGCCACAUAUAUCCUCAUGACAUUUUGGAACUACUAUUUUUUGGGCAUGUAUUUCUAACUAUUCAAAGCUACAACUUCAUCUCUAGUAACAUAUUUGGGCUAGCUAGUCUAUAUCAAUAACACAAAAAGUUGCAAAGGUAUCUCAGCAUCUGGUCAGUGUGAUCUGAGCAUCAGGCUGUUGUGCAUACUUAUAUUUGGAGUACUUUGACACUAAUACAUAUAUACUACCCAAAAGCUGAAUCACACAUCUAGGUUGUUUUAGGGACAUCAUUUUAGAAUACUUCCUGGAUCUGUACACAGAACUAACUGAUAAAGGAUCUUUCUCAGAACCUUUCCUACAUGUUUUAGGGUAAUGUUAAGAACUCCCAAUAGAUAUGAUCCAAAGUAUAUUUAUAUAUAUAUAUGUUCUUGUUAUGUUUGUACUUCAUUUCAACACACACAGAAUUUAGGCUAUUUACUUUUGGGUCACUUAUCAUGAACUUAAGAGAAAGGUGGGGUCUCCUCUCCUUGAAGAGUAGAAAUAAUUUUAUUGUUCUUAUGGUCACAAGGUAUUUUCCAAAGAAGUUGGUAAAGAAUUAUAUUAUAUAAAAAUGGAUCUUCUUGUUUCUUGUGAUAUUUCUGGUUCUAAUUAUGAAACUACUUCAUAACAAACAAUAGCAAAGUUAUUAGAGAAGUUUGGACGAGCACUGAGAUAUCAGGGUUACUUUUAUUUUCUCAAUAAUAGCGAGGUUAACUUUAACACAAUUGUACUUAGUUUAUCAAGUUCUCAUGGAACCUCUGAUCUUCUAAGGAAUGGAAUACAAACCACAGCCUUUUUGCUGCUCAGUUUUCACUGAAAUGAAAUCAAUCAGAAGCUACAUUCUGAAAGAGAGGAGCAGUUUAUAUUGACCUCUAAGUUGCUUAAGAAAUCUCUGUGCACUAUCAAAGGUUGUCACAAAACUGACAUUGAUAAAGAGUUCAGUGCUAGUUCCAACAUGUACUAUCCCUUCAACUGCAUAUAUUUGUACAUAUUUUACAGUUAUAUAUAUAAUAUUGCAUAUAUUUUACAGUUUUGCCUGUAUUGCAACAUGCAAGUAUGGUGAAGUUUGUAAUGAAAAUAUAUGCUUUCUGGUAUACAGAAUAAAUUCCCAGCAAAAAGUCACAUUCCAUUCAUCUGUAUUCCUUGCACUUUAGCCUUUUCAUUUGAUUUUAGCCUCAAGUUGAUGACAAAAUGGUAAUUUCAAACUGUGUGUUUUUCAGCUUACCAAGACUAAUAUUUCUUCAUUGUUGCCACUGCAAGAGUUCCUUCAAACAACAAGAUCAUGCUCUGGUGUUUCACAUAAAUAAACAUCAAGCACUGUAAAAACAUACCAUCUACAUGAGAGAAGACAAGCAACAAUCAAAUAAGAGAAAUAGGAGGUAGAUUAGAGAAUCUUUAGUCAACUGAUGAAAAUCAUAUUACACAUGCAACAUAAUACAUUUUCUAUGUAUAAAUUAUAUAAAUUUAUGAAACAGGAAACAUCGGAAAAAAAAGAAAGAUAAUGAAAUUAUGCAAUAUUAGGAAUCUAAACUGGCUUUUGAGAUGGAACUAAUGGAAGUCUUAUGGCAUUGCUCUUCAUGGUGCCUCUUUAAUUUUCCAGCCUUUUUCUUCUUUCAACUAAUACAGAUGUUCUGCUUUACCUUCCCUUUACAGUAUGAGAACAGAUCAUUUUUAUACUGACAAAAGACUGUUCAAAAUUAUGCUUUAAUACAGUAAAGCUCAGACACACACAGGUUAUCCUGCUUAUUUUUUAUUAUUAUUUUCUUGUUCCUUUUGUAACUCUCUGUCCUUCUUUCUUGGACAGAGAGAGAAAUGUCCUCUCUUGAAAAGAGAAUGACCAUAUUACUCUGUAGUAAAAUACGUAACCU